AAACAAAUCAAUGAAUUGAUCAGCAGCUUGUAAAAUUUCUAAGUUUUUUUUUAAAUUGGGAAUAUAGCGCGUCAUUGGAAAAACUACAUGUCCCACGAUGCCUCACUCUCAAGCUGACCAAAGGGAACGACCAGCCGUUCAGCUGAGCCUCAAGUUUGCUGAGGGAAACUUCAGCGCCGACCACGACCUUGAACAGAUACACAUGAAAUAAACACGACAGAAGCCGGCCGGUAAACCAGCAGUAGCAUGAGAAAGCAAGUCAUUUGAUCAGGAAACAAUAAAGGAACCUUUACCCACUGCACACAAAAAAAUCAAAUGCUAAGAAAACUGCUACAGCAGCACCCCGUCAUUACCUUCAGUCUCAGUCAGAGCCCAAUGCCCUGGAUGCCUGUGUUUUCCCCCUGAGCAACCGGGCGGCCUCAGUCUCCAAGUGGGACACCUGGCUCCGAGUUGACCUUCACCCUGAACCCCCCAGCCCCAGCCAAGCUGUCCCACCCUGUCUCAACCCCCCUCACUUCUUCUCCUCGUUCUUCUCUUUCUCCUCCCUUCUGGCCCCCACAGGCCCAUCUGGACACCCAGUCAGCCUUCUCCCUCAAUGAGGGGCAGGGGGAGGCUAAGGGGUCCCUGGACGUGGACCCUCAGCCUCUUCACGUUGCCUCACAGGGGUACUUAAGUGAGCUGGGACAACGAGCCUGCC
ensembl:lncRNA